UGGACGAGUCAUCAGACGUUGAGGAGGAGGUCGAGUUCUGCAGUGGCAGGUACUCUAUCGAUUCCUCGCCGGCCAGCUGCGAGGACCUCCCCCACCACACCGCUGUGCCCCUCUGCCCCAACGUGCCAGGGCAGCAGUAGAGCUACUACUCCAGCGACGGAUACUAGGCUCUCGGCUCCUACAGGGAGACAGCGCAGCAAGGGCCAAGCCGUGGCCGGAGCAGGCGCGCUGUGCAGCAUAUGUGGAGGAGUACUCCGACUCUGCUGGUAGCUCUGAGUUCUUCUCAAUUUGUUUACCCCCUGCUUCAUUCUCUGCCAUAUCAAAUUAGAUGGCACCGUUUCCUACUCUGUUCCAAUCCUUUGUUGCAUAUGGAAGCUCCAACAUUUUCUCUAGGCUUGGCGACAAAGAUCCACUGCUCUAGCCUCUAGGUGGUAUUGCGAGCAUGGCCACAUUGAAGUUCCUAAGCUCUAGUGCCUACAUUAGAAAUUAAAGACACCAUCGCUAUGCCUCUCCUAGACUGACUGACA